rnacentral:rRNA from 1 species
CCUACGGGAGGCUGCAGUGGGGAAUCUUGCGCAAUGGGCGAAAGCCUGACGCAGCGACGCCGCGUGAGUGAUGAAGGCCUUCGGGUUGUAAAGCUCUGUUGGGAGAGACGAAUAAGUGCGGGCUAAUACUCCGCAUGAUGACGGUAUCUCCUUAGCAAGCACCUGCUAACUCUGUGCCAGCAGCCGCGGUAAGACAGAGGGUGCAAACGUGGGUCGGAAUUACUGGGCGUAGGGCGUGUAUAGGGGGCCAGAAAGCCCUGGGCUCAACCCAGGAAGUGCACUCGAUACUGCAUGGCUUGAGUACCGGAGAGGUUGGUGGAAUUCUCGGUGUAGGGGUGAAAUUCGUAGAUAGCGAGAGGAACACCGGUGGCGAAGGCGGCCAACUGGACGGAUACUGACGCUGAGACACGAAAGCGUGGGGAGCAAACAGGAUUAGAUACCCGAGUAGUC